CAUCUGGUGUCACUAGACACCACCAAUAGUUUGGAAAAAGCACCU
rfam:Brassica oleracea var. oleracea cultivar TO1000 chromosome C1, whole genome shotgun sequence